rnacentral:tRNA from 1 species
GUGGCUCAGUGGUAGAGUGCUUGCCUUGCAUGCAUGAAGUCCUAGGUUCGAUUCCUCAGC